AAGAAGAUACUAAGGGCGCACGGCGGAUGCCUUGGCACAGGAAGUCGAAGAAGGACGCGGCAAGCUGCGAUAAGCUCCGGGGAGGCGCAAACGGCCUUCGAUCCGGAGAUCUCCGAAUGGGGGAACCCAGCAGGGGUCAUGCCCUGCUACCCGCGCCUGAAUGAAAUAGGGCGCGAGGAGGCAACCCGGGGAACUGAAACAUCUAAGUACCCGGAGGAAGAGAAAUCAACCGAGAUUGCGGGAGUAGCGGCGAGCGAAACCGCACCAGCCCAAACCCAUGCACGUGCAAGCUUGAGGGCGUUGCUGCAUGAGGGGUUGUGGGACCGCGCAUUCCAUGGGCCUCAGACCAUGGACGCAGUUACAAAUCCGCGCGGAAGCGGAACGGCCUGGGAAGGCCGGCGGAACAGGGUGAGAGCCCCGUACGCGAAUCCGCGCGGACUGCGAGUGCGGCACCCGAGUAGCGCCGGGCACGUGAAACCCGGUGCGAACCUGGGGGGACCACCCUCCAAGGCUGAACACUCUCCUGUGACCGAUAGCGAACCAGUACCGUGAGGGAAAGGUGAAAAGCACCCCGAGAGGGGAGUGAAACAGUACCUGAAACCGUGCGCCUACAAGCAGUCGGAGCCCCCGAGCGGGGUGACGGCGUGCCUUUUGUAGAAUGAGCCAGCGAGUUGCGGUAUGCGGCGAGGUUAAGGUUUGAACCGAGCCGCAGUGAAAGCGAGCCUUUAAGAUGGCGUAUGAGUCGCAUGCUGCAGACGCGAAGCCGGGUGAGCUAUCCAUGGGCAGGCUGAAGCGGGGGUAAGACCCCGUGGAGGGCCGAACCCACUUCGGUUGAAAACGGAGGGGAUGACCCGUGGAUAGGGGUGAAAGGCCAAUCAAACCCGGAGAUAUCUCGUUCUCCCCGAAAUAGCUUUAGGGCUAGCCUCGGCCGUUCUCCGACGGCGGUAGAGCACUGGAUCGUCGAGGGGGCUUCACCGCCUACCGACACGAACCAAACUCCGAAUGCCGCCGGAUCAGAGGCCGGGAGUCAGAACAUGUGGGCUAAGCUGUGUGUUCGAGAGGGAAACAGCCCAGACCGCCCGCUAAGGUCCCCAAAUCCAUGCUGAGUGGCAAAGGAUGUGCGUUUGCCUAGACAACCAGGAUGUUGGCUUAGAAGCAGCCAUGCAUUUAAAGAGUGCGUAACAGCUCACUGGUCAAGUGGACAUGCGCCGACAAUUCACGGGGCUAAGCAUGGUACCGAAGCGGCGGACUAAUCUAUAUUAGUGGUAGGGGAGCUUUCCCCGCAGCGGAGAAGCCGAGAGGGCGACCCUCGGUGGAGCGCGGGGAAGUGAGAAUGCUGGCAUGAGUAACGAGAGCGGCGCGAGAAACGCCGCCGCCGUAAGCCUAAGGGUUCCUGGGCAAGGCUAAUCCUCCCAGGGUCAGUCGGGAGCUAAGGCGAGGCCGAGAGGCGUAGCCGAUGCGCAACAGGCGGACAUUCCUGUACCGCCUGCGGACCGCUAUCACCGACGGGGUGACGGAGAAGGGUAGCCGAGCGGGGUUCUGGACGUCCCCGUGAAAGCGCGUAGGGCGCGGAGCAUGGAAAUCAGCUCCGCAGAAAGCCUGAGACGCGAGACGAAAGCUUAUGCUGAAGUCGGCGAGCCCAUGCUUCCGAGAAAAACCUCUAGGAAGGGACGCAGGCGCCCGUACCAAAACCGACACAGGUGGGCAGGUAGAGCAUACCGAGGCGAUCGGGAGAACCAUGGUUAAGGAACUCGGCAUACUGACUCCGUAACUUCGGGAGAAGGAGUGCCCCUGGCGGUGACGGGACUUGCUCCCCGAGCGGCCGGGGGUCGCAGCGAAACGGCCCAAGCGACUGUUUAUCAAAAACACAGGACUCUGCAAAGCCGUAAGGCGACGUAUAGGGUCUGACGCCUGCCCGGUGCUGGAAGGUUACGCGGAUGGGUCAGCCGCAAGGCGAAGCUCUGAAGCCAAGCCCC
rnacentral:rRNA from 1 species